CCUACGGGGGGCUGCAGUGAGGAAUCUUCCACAAUGGGCGAAAGCCUGAUGGAGCGACACCGCGUGAAGGAUGAAGCCUUUGUUGGUGUAAACUUCUUUUCUCUGGGAAGAUAAUGACGGUACCAGAGGAAUAAGGGGCGGCAAACUAUGUGCCAGCAGCCGCGGUAAUACAUAGUCCCCAAGCGUUAUCCGGAAUUACUGGGCGUAAAGAGGCUGUAGGUGGUCUUGCAAUUCUCGUGUGAAACUCCAGGGCGCAACUCUGGAUUGCACGGGAAAUUAUGAGACUUGAGUACGGGAGAGGCAAGCAGAACGGUAUGAGUAGGAGUGCAAUCCGUUGAUACAUACAAGAAUACCAAAAGCGAAGGAAGCUUGCUGGAACGUUACUGACACUGAGAGACGAAAGCGUGGGGAGCGAAAGGGAUUAGAUACCCCUGUAGUC
rnacentral:rRNA from 1 species